AACGCACAUUGCGCCCCUUGGUAUUCCAUGGGGCAUGCCUGUUCGAGCGUCAUCUACACCCUCAAGCUCUGCUUGGUGUUGGGCGUCUGUCCCGCCUCUGCGCGUGGACUCGCCCCAAAUUCAUUGGCAGCGGUCCUUGCCUCCUCUCGCGCAGCACAUUGCGUUUCUUGAGGUGCGCGGCCCGCGUCCACGAAGCAACAUUACCGUCUUUGACCUCGGAUCAGGUAGGGAUACCCGCUGAACUUAA
rnacentral:misc_RNA from 1 species